rnacentral:lncRNA from 1 species
AUUAAUUCAGUCAUCAAAGAUACUCCAAGUGAGUGUUACGAUUUGUAAUAUGGAUUUCAAAGCUGCAGUCUGUUGAUGUUCAGACAGUUUAAGAGGAUUUGCUCAAUAAGCAGAGAUUUGUCUUGCAACAAGACUGUCUGGGCCACCUACAGAAGAAAGCAAGUUACACUCCUCAGAUUUGCCUUUGAAGAAUUCUAGCAACUGGCUGUCUCACACCUACCCUUGCACAUGCGUUGCUGGUUUCGUUCAGCUACAUGAUCCCUUUGCUGUAACUAGGAUGGUCUCCUCACCACCACCGGCACCAGUCUGCCUGAUUCUGAUUUUUCAUGCCAAAUGAUGUGGGAUCUGGAAAGAUGGGCGAAUAGGAAUAGCUCUGGUCUACAGCUCCCAGCAAAACCAACACAGAAGGAACUGCCAUACUUUUUUACACAGCAGCUGCACCAUUUUACAUUCCCACCAGCAAUGCACAACGGUUCUGAUUUCUCUAUGUCUUGUGAUUACUGCUGAAAGCAUCCUGAGUGACACAAACUUGAAGCAUGCAAGAGGACUAAAUAACUUCCAAAGUCACACAUAUUGCAUGUCAAGAGCCAGCUUCAAACUCAAGUCCCUGUGACCAGAGGUCGAUGCUCUAAACACAUUUCUGCAUGACCUGCUUGUGGCAGCCUGGAGAAAUUCUACAUAAAUCUUCUCAGAUUCCAGAGGCUGCGAGGUCUGAGAUCAAGGAUCUGACACCUGGUGAGGGCCUUUUUGCUGCAUCAUUUCACAUAGAGACAAAAAGAUUCUCACCUGUAAGCUUGAAUUAUGUCUACAUCAUGCUUGGGAAAUGUCCAUAUAUUCUAAGCUUGAAACUGCAGUGAUGAGGACGUCACCACUUCCAGAGAGAACACUUUACUACCAGGCAACUUGAGUACAAUAGGCAGCCACAAAUAUCAUCCUUGCUAGCCAGGAAUGACAAGGAGCAAGCCACAUGAGGAGUCAGAAAAGAUUAUUCCAGGCAGGGCUGAGAUCUGCAUUAUGGUCUGGAGGCUGCCCCAGUCUCUCCUUUACCUCCAUAUUUUUCUCACAGGUUCUGGAGACUUUAAGACCAAGAUCAAGAUGCUGGCAAGGACUUUUCUUCAUCAUGUGAAGAAGCCAACACAGACAUCAACUCUUGCAGAAAUAUUUACAUUCCAGGAUGGGUGGAAUAUUCAUCCUCUAAGACACUCUCCUUACUGCUCAUUUCACUUCUGGGUACAGUAAAUAUCAUUAUUUUUUGGUUUUUUAAUAUAUCUGUCUCAUAAUAUUGUUCAUUCUUAAAGGAUAACAACCAUAUCUUGUCCAUCUUCAUAACCUUGAAGAAUAUUAUAGUACUUUGUUAAUAGAUAACAUUCAAUAAAUAUUUGUGGAAGAAAUUUAAUGAUUGGAUAAUUAUAGUCAAAUAUAUUGAGAAGAAACAGGGUAAAGAUAUUGAUUAA